rnacentral:rRNA from 1 species
GGAAGUAAAAAGUCGUAACAAGGUCUCCGUUGGUGAACCAGCGGAGGGAUCAUUACCGAGUUUACAACUCCCAAACCCAAUGUGAACGUUACCAAACUGUUGCCUCGGCGGGGUCACGCCCCGGGUGCGUCGCAGCCCCGGAACCAGGCGCCCGCCGGAGGAACCAACCAAACUCUUUCUGUAGUCCCCUCGCGGACGUAUUUCUUUACAGCUCUGAGCAAAAAUUCAAAAUGAAUCAAAACUUUCAACAACGGAUCUCUUGGUUCUGGCAUCGAUGAAGAACGCAGCGAAAUGCGAUAAGUAAUGUGAAUUGCAGAAUUCAGUGAAUCAUCGAAUCUUUGAACGCACAUUGCGCCCGCCAGUAUUCUGGCGGGCAUGCCUGUCCGAGCGUCAUUUCAACCCUCGAACCCCUCCGGGGGAUCGGCGUUGGGGAUCGGGACCCCUCACACGGGUGCCGGCCCCUAAAUACAGUGGCGGUCUCGCCGCAGCCUCUCCUGCGCAGUAGUUUGCACAACUCGCACCGGGAGCGCGGCGCGUCCACGUCCGUAAAACACCCAACUUUCUGAAAUGUUGACCUCGGAUCAGGUAGGAAUACCCGCUGAACUUAAGCAUAUCAAUAAGGCGGAGGAA